GGGGGGGGGGGGGGGGGGGGCGGGGGGGGGGGGGGCGGGGGGGUGGGGGGGGGGGGGGCGUGGGUGAAGUGGCGGGCGGGCGGGUGAGGGCCAGGUGGCUGCCGGGUAGUGGGGGCUGGCGUCGGGACGGGGGCGCGGAUCGCGUAUAGGUGGUGAGGGGGAACGUGGGGGAUCGUUGGACCUCAGCGGUUUAGCUGACACUCGUUCGGAUGAGCUAGUUGGUUGGGUUAAGGCCUACCAAGGCGACGAUCCGUAACUGUUCUGAGAGGAUGAUCAGUCACACUGGAACUGAGACACGGUCCAGACUCCUACGGGAGGCAGCAGUAGGGAAUAGUGGGCAAUGGGCGAAAGCCUGAUCCAGCCACGCCGCGUGUGUGAAGAAGGUCUUCGGAUUGUAAAGCACUGUAAGUUGGGAGGAAGGGCAGUAAGUGAAUACCUUGCUGUUUUGACGUUACCAACAGAAUAAGCCCCGGCUAACUUCGUG
rnacentral:rRNA from 1 species